AGGCCCUUACCUUGCUGUCAUCCAUGUAUGCCGCCAGCCCCAAUCCGCCUCGCCGCAGCCCCUGCUCGAGGAGCAGGCGGAGCCGCCCGCCCGCCCGCAGCCCCGGCAGACACCGGCGCUCACAGAGCCUCAGGGCCGCCCGCGGCCGCCGCCAUCGCCCGCUGCCAUGUUUGUUUACAGAUCAGCGGAGCGGUAGCGCUGGCAGAGCGGUGCACGCUGGGAAGUGUAGUCUUGUUUGGCCCCGUCGCUAUUGGCCGCCGCCCUGACGGGGACGGAAAAAACUACAACUCCCAGCACACCCAGCAGAGGAGAGGUGCGGCAAUUGGUCCUCGUCUCGCCGAUCGGGCGAACUACAUUUCCCAGGAGGCUCCGGGCGCUCCCCCGCCUCAUCGAAACUGAAUUUGUUGGUUUGUUGGUGUUUUUUUGCUUUGUUUGUUUACUUAUUUGUUUGUUUGUUUGUGUUUUCUCUAUCGCUCACACCAUUCCACGGCUGUUCUGCUGCAACCGCAAUGCCUCCGGAAAGAUGACCAGGGGCUGGUGGGGCCCGGGCUGCCGGCUCCCACCCUAGCACGGGCUAGAUGAAAAAAACCCAAACCAAUAACACAACAAAUUUUUCUGCUGUUUUUUGCCUUGCUUUGCCCUAAGAGUUCAUGAAGACACAGCCGAAUUUUCUAGGCCACCUGGACACCACUGAGCUCCCUCAAGCGUGGAGCAGCAGUCGUGUAAUUCCUGGAGAAUACCCAGUUGCCCCCAUUUCCAUGUAGGCACAGGGCUCUUGUGGAAUGCCUGAGGUAAAUCCAGGCCAUCCUCCUGUGUCUGUGCCUCCAAAUGAGCCCUGUGCUCGCUGGAAGGACACAGGAUUCUGUCUGGUCAUCGUCAACUUCUUCCUCCUAAUCCCAAUGGUGUCGUCCUACCCAAGGCAGGAUGAAGUUCGUUUCUUCUGAUAAUGGAGCAAUAAAUUCUCUUUCUCUGAAAGAUUUCGGUGUCCUGUGGCUGCUACCUCAGUGUACCCCAGGACACAAUGCUCUUAAGCACGGCCCACGUUUCAAGCUGGCGGCGAAACCUGAAGUUUGGCGUGUUUCAUGUUGCUGCAUGUUUCUUUUUAUUCAUGCAAGAGUUUCCCAUGACUUAAUCUCUUUUACAUGCAAUUAUUAGGGCUGAAGGCUUUGUCAUGGGAUUUUCCCCCUGAAUCACAGACCUUCCUCUUGGAGGGAUAUGCUUGCUAGAUGGCAGAGACAAAGCACUUUCUGAAGCUUUUUUUUUUCCUCUAUAAGCUUAUAUGUUGUCAAAGACAAGGCAGUUUGCACACUGCUUCCUAUUUCCUUGUCCAAACACAAUGAAUCAGUUCUGGCAACUCUCCUUUGAAAUAAUAGUAGUAAAAAAAGCAGGGAUGAUCAAUGUGUCAAACAUCAGCUAAUAAAGUGGAAGGAAUGGCUUGCUA